GGUUUAUCGCAGACGAAGAAUG
rnacentral:miRNA from 1 species